rnacentral:lncRNA from 1 species
UCAGUCAAUUGUUAUUAGUCUAACUGAAAAAUGGAAAGAAAGAAAUGUAGCUGCCACAUAAGGCCAGAUUGUUAAAUAAGAAUCACACAAACUAGAGGUCUUACCGAGUCCCAAGCUUUAUGAAUAACUUGAGGGAGAAAAGCAAUCAUGACACACAGGCAUUGCUGUAGACCUGAAACUAACACAAUACUGUCAAUUGACUAUACUUCAAUUUUUAAAUAGUUUGAAAAAAAAGCACAGGACGAGGUCUCAAACAUUGAGGAGAGAUCCAUGUUCUUUCGUUCUUCAUUAACUGCAGAUAUAGAUAACUGCAGAUAUAUGCCUUCCACAGUGGGAAGCAUUUAGGUUAUUAACCUAAGUUGUAGUUUUAGAGUUUUCAGACCAUUCUCCAUGUAGCCACAACUCAUUGUAUCAUAGCUUCCCGGUUUCUUUACCAUAACUAAUCCUAAAUUAGUGAUACUGCUAAAAUCAUUCUUUAAAGACGUAUUCUCUCUCCAUCAUUUACCAGAAGGUUCAGUGAUCAGAAUGUUCACAAGGAGAUUAGACUAGAUUGUCUACCUUUUUUUUUUUUUUUUUCUCCAGAGGGUUCCUAGUAAGAGGGAGAAAAAUGGGUUGUAGACAGACUGCUUUAACUUCUAUUUCUCAAGUGAAAUAAUGUGGACUUUCAGUUUUUAUCAUGAAAUUAUGAGUACCCUGAUUAGUGUGACCCUGUUUUUAUGAAAAUUUUGCAGAUGCAUUUCAUAUUCAGCUGUGAUUUGGAGGUUAUUUAAAUAAAGCUACAUGCAAGUUCUGAGUCUUUCUAAAAAAGAACUUAUUACCAUAGAAAUGAAUGCCAUAGAGAAAUUCCUGGUUAAUUUGUAUUAAAACAAUACAAUAUUCUGCAUGGAUUAAGGACGUGUUUUUUUUUGUAUAUGUUGAAUAGUCAAAUACUGUGAAAUAUUACCUAAAAUGUUUACAUGUAAUUAGGUAUACUAAGUACAAUUCCAAGGUGCAAGUGUGAAAGAAACUAUUUCUGCAUGUAGAGAGAAAAGAAUAUUUAUAGUGAAAAUAAUUUUAAGUCAUUUUCUAUUUUGUGAUUCUAGUAUACAGUGUAGUGUUAAAGAAAUUUCCAUGAAAUGAAUGAAUGUCAGCAUCAGCUACAUCAUUCACUAUUAAAUAUGUCAUCUGUUGAUUUGGAUAGCAAUUCUAGAUCUGCUAAUUAUUAGCUGUGUGGCUAAAGAAAAAUUAUUUCUUCUCUCUGAAAAGUUGUCUACCAUCUGUAAAAACACACACUUUAUCCCUCACAAAUAUUUAUUAAUUUAUUUAUUUAAUUUGGGCAGCUCCUACAGGACGCAAAAGUUCCUGGGGCAGGGAUUGAAGCUGCACCAUAGCAGUGACAAUGCUGGAUCCUUAACCUGCUGAGCUACCAGGAACUCUGAUUCUUUCUUUUUUUUAUGGAGCAAAUACUUACUGAGCAUCUGUUUUGUACCAGACUUUGUGCUUGGCAAGACAGAGAAGUUUCCCACCUCCGCAGACAUAACAUGUUAAGUCAUUGCAAAGAUUAGGAAAUAUAGUGUAUAUCACUUCAGUAAACAUUAGCUUCAAUUUUUUAUCUUCAGAAACUAUUUUGUCUUCUUCCUUAAGUUGUUAAAUGGAAAUUUGUUACACUGUCAUGCCAGGAACUCCAAAGGGUCUGAGUAUACACUCCACAGAAGGCAACAAGUUAGCCUGUCUUAGGUUCACAGUUACUGUCUAAAGUUCUGAGGCCUCUGGGUCAGAGACAAAGGCAGAUUAUUACUCAUAACAAUAGCCCUAGCUGGAGUAUUAUCUUGGUGCUUGUUCCCACAAGGCAAUGAAAGCAAGAUCUUGCCUGCCCAGACAGUAAAGUUGCAUUACUGAGGGCGGACUCUGAUAUUAGAAAGCCCUGGCCUGAUAUAGGGGCUACUAGCAAAUAUCUGGGAGAGAGAGAUUAUUUUGAUCACCUGGAAUGCAAGCAAAUCUGCUCUGGAGAGGAAAGAAAGAUGUCUUUAUCUUUACAGUGUGCAGUGUCUCUGGGGGGGAGAGAGACAUUUCCCAUCUUUAUCAUCCUAGAAUUUAAGUAGGUCUGUCUCUCCAUUGUGAUUUGGUUAAACAAUCAUUUUUGAAAAGAGAGUCUGAAACAAACUAGCAUUAAUAUCUAUGUAUGUAGAAAGACAAGAAAUUUAUGGAAAACUAUAUUCUAGCACCAAAUGUCCAAACAUUUUCAGUUGACUAUACCUCCUUUAAUUGUUAAACAAACUUUUAAUUUGUCAACUGAUUUUUAAUUGUGUAAGAAGGAACACGUAUUUGUGGUGAUUUAGCUCUUAGAGGAUGAGACUUCCACCUUCUCUUUAUAUGGGGAACGUGUCUGGGAAGGGAGCUGCUGCAUGUUCACUUCACAUCCCUCCUCCUGCAGAGAUAACCAGUCGCAUGGUUUUGAACAUGACAAGGUAGGUUUUGCGUCUCAUUUGACUGGGGUUUAGGUUUAUAGUUCUCUUAGACCAAGGACUCAGAUCCUGUCUCUUUUAUCUGUGCUCUGGUACAGCAGGAGUUCCAUACUCUUCCUUGUGAAUUCCCUAUAGCUUGUGUAUUUGUAUUGAGACCAGACAGGCCUUCCCCACAGAGGGAAACUUGUUAUGCUUUGACUGUCUAUAGGCUCUUCUGCCUAUAAGUGAGUGAGUAAGUUGGGUCAUCCUUGAACUGUAGGUGGUUUUCAAUUUUAGGGUAAGAAAAAUAGAAAUCCUACUUUCACCUGUAACCCCAAACCAUGCUUUGUAAGUACAUUUUUACCAAUACAUGUAUUUUUAACUUAAUAGGCCAUUUCUUUGGUAUUAAUAAAUGUUUUCAGUUUAAGUGCCAUUUUGGGGGUACUGGGUGUUCUAUCCAAAGAAUCCUGAGAAGGAAAAAGGGAGGAAAUAUAAAUCUUAGGUCUGAGAAUGUGUAACCCAUUAAUAAUCUCUGUGAAUUGUUUUGGAUCUACAACAGCAAGGCAUUCCCAGGGGUGAAGCUGGGCUCACCAGGAACAGCAAAGGGUUAUGAUACAAUAAAAAUAAGAGUCUGAGAAAGAAAUCUGAAGAGUUUUGGUCUCGGAUUUGUGGUUUGAGACCAAUAACCCUUGUUUCUUAUUUCAGUCAUGGUAGCAAGUGAUGAUUUUAUAAACUCAGAUACAUGUUAAGAGUAUUUUCCUUCCACACCAAGGUGGGACCAUCAAUCAACGCCGAGAACACUGUCAAGAGAAAAUAAGGAACUACAGUGGUUGUGAUGCUGUUGCUGUCCUAGAUAAUGACCUAAGAUGUAGAACAUAUGUUAUGAUGGCAAAAAAAGGGACAUCACUACAAAGAUGCCCCCCAGUUCCUGUCUCUCAGACACAGAUGCCUUGAGAAAUGGCAGAUAAAUCAUCUUGGAAAAACAUCAGACCACAGGAAAGCUAAAUAACAAUGACCAGAACUUACAAGCCUCUUCUAAAUACAAAAGGUGCAGAAAGUAUCUAGAACACUUACCCAGCAGGGAAAAUUAUAUUUAUGCAAAGCACCUGAAAACUUGUGAUUUGCAUAUCAUUUUUGUCUGACUUAUUAAUCCUAAUGAGUGCUUAUUAAGCACUUAGUGAUGAAAAACAUUAUUUGAAGUAAUAACAGAGUACAAAGUAUUAUUAUGCAAAUGUGUAUGACAAGGGUAUACAGCUGCAGAUUUUAGAUCUUGCUGAUUUUACUUCUGCAAUAUUUUCUUCUUGAAGUUAUCCUCUCCUUCCUGCUUCCAGUACUACAAACCAUUAGUCUUUUGGCCUCUAUAUCAACUUAACUUCCAAAGUGCUCUAAAGUAAAUUUUCUCAAGCUUAGCAUGGUGUUCAAGGCCAUCUAUUUGUUCAUCCCAAUCUGUCUUUUUAGUCUUAUUUUUCAAUACACAUUCCAUCUAUCACACUUCAGUCACAUCAAGGUUGUACCUCUUCUCAUUGCUGUCUGUUGAAAUCUAUUCAUUUUUCAAGACCCAGAAAAUCUGACAGCUUUCCCAUGUAUUUUCUUUAAAUAUUUCUCAAUAUUCAUCUCCUCUUUCUUUAAGGUCCUCAAAACUUUGUUCCUCCUUUUCAGAUAAUAUUUGUAUGAUUAUUACCCGUAUACAGUUAAACUUUUAUUCAAGCUGCUAUAUUAUAAAUCAUGGGAGAUCAGAAAUAUGCCAUAUUUGUAUACCUUUAGAACCGAGGAGAGCAUCCGGCCCAAAAAUGUUUAGGUAAAUUCACUGCAAACAAUUUAAUUAUCUAAAUGCUGAGUAUGUAUUGUUUAAAGUAAAUAAAACAAUGACAUCCCCCAAGCACAUUUCUACCUGCUAAAAGAUGAGUUGGUACCAAAUAGUCAUUUAAGGAAGAUCUGGAGGGAGAGUUAACAGCUUCCAUUUUGAAGGAUGGUGCAUUUAUAGUUUUCUGUUACUCUUGAUUCUUCCCAAUGGCAUAAAUCAGUUAAUCUUGAAUUGCUUGUUGUAAGUAAAU